rnacentral:rRNA from 1 species
GGUUUAUAGAUUAAUAAUUAUAAAUCUGUUCUGCCCAUUGAAAUAAAUUUUUGAAUGGCUGCGGUAUAUUGACCGUACUAAGGUAGCAAAAUCAAUAGUUUUUUAAUUGAAAGCUGGAAUGAAAGAAUUGAUGAGAUAAAAAUUGUUUCAAAAUUAAUAAUAGAAUUUAAAUUUUAAGUUAAAAUGCUUAAAUUAAUUUAUUAGACGAGAAGACCCUAUAGAAUUUUAUAAAAUUUUAAUAAAUUAAUUUUUAUAUAAAAUAAAUUAUUUUAUUAAAUUAUAUUUAAUUGGGAGGAUUAUAAAAUUUAAAUAACUUUUAUUUUAUAAAAACAUAGAUAAAUGAAUAAUUGAUUAUUAUUAUAAUUAUAAGAAUAAAUUACCUUAGGGAUAACAGCGUAAUAUUUUUGGAGAGAUCUUAUUGAUAAAAAUGUUUGCGACCUCGAUGUUGAAUUAUGAUAAAAUUUAGGUGAAGAUACUUAAAUUGUUAGUCUGUUCGACUAUUAAAAUCAUACA